AGCUGAAUAUGGCCUGAUGUCACAAAUGUCUGAGAACUGAACAGAAAGCCCCUAUUACCAGUCUCAUUCUUUAACUACAAGAACAUCCACUUUACCUGGAAAAUGUAUCCUCUUUCGUAUAAUUUGCCAAAUGUGUCCUAUUCCAAAGAGAAUGUUUUUUUGGGGAGAGAGAAAAAAAAAGAAGGUGUAUCAGUAUUACUUAAUCUUCUUCCUUUCAUCUGGAUGUUCUCAAGUCAUUGAUAUUGCAUAGGCUGCAAUAGAACAAACAAAUCAGUCAUGGCAUGGCAUUGUUGCUGGCUCAGCGUCUCUCAAGCCAACGAUAAGUUAUGGUUUUUCCCUACUUUUAAACCAAUGUGAUUCUUCCUAGUGGGAGAAGAACCAUCAGUCUUGAUAAUGUCAGUGUGGGUGGAGAGAGUGCCAUCCUUCCCUCUCCAAAUACCUCCAUACACCUAUAGAAAAGCUCAAUACUAAGAAGUGUUUUCUCCUCUGUGCUGGGAUCCUUUCUUGCAGGGCAAUCAAUCAAUAAAUAAUAGUACUGGAAUUGCAUAAUAUAAUGAAGCAGGAGAAAAGAAGCAAAGAGGGCAAACUGAGGCUUUAUUUUCAAGCCAGGAAAUCAAAGUCUCUGCCAAGCCAUGUUCUGCAGCAGGACCCUAGCUUUUGUCUACAAUGCUAAGUGGCUACUGCAUAAUACUGCUGCUGGUGCUAAUCCAGUGAAAUUUUUUUUUCUUUUUUUUUGGGUGAGAUUUCCCAUAUUGUUCUGGUGAGCUCUGACUGUCUGAGAACUGUACACUCCUCUCUGCUUCCCAGCUAGAGAGUGAGUCUCUCCUGUGUGGUCUGAAACAUAAGGCAUGUGUUUGUGGACCUCUCCUUCUGCAGACCCAACCAAAAUGCUCCUGCACUCUCUUGUUCCACAGCUCCACAGUCGCAUGUGCUGCUGGAGAGUUGGAUUUGAAAGCAAUUGAAACACACACCUGCCCCUUCAUCCAUCAGAAACUGGAGAAAACUUUAUUCAAAAUCUUCUCUGAUGAUUCAAAGCUGCUGAUGAGACAUCUUCUAUGGAUAAGGACUACCAGAAUCACAUAAUUGUUUAAGCUGGGAAAGAAGUCUGAGAUCUCUGAGUAAAUCCAUUAACCUAUCACUGACAACUCCACCACUAAAGCAUGUCCCCAUUAGAGUGUAGGAUUGACAUGCUACAUCUGAAUUCUCUUCCUUCACUAUCUAAUGCAAGACACAAAAAGUCCUAAGAGAACACUACAAUGGGUUUUCCCAUAAGUUGUGCCUGUGUUUUUCUGAAGUUAAUCUCUUUGCUUAGGCUAGGUUGACUGUGCAUUGAACAAAAAAUGCAAAAUCAUUGUCUCCUCCAACACACUGGAAAAUACUGUUGCUAAUCAUCUUGAAACAAGCUGUGACUGGCUGAGACAGACAAAUAAAACAUAAUUUUAAAAGCA
rnacentral:lncRNA from 1 species